UGGGGAAUAUUGCACAAUGGAGGGAACUCUGAUGCAGCGACGCCGCGUGAACGAAGAAGGCUUUCGAGUCGUAAAGUUCUUUUAUAUGGGAAGAUAAUGACGGUACCAUAAGAAAAAGCCCCGGCUAACUACGUGCCAGCAGCCGCGGUAAUACGUAGGGGGCUAGCGUUGUCCGGAAUCACUGGGCGUAAAGGGUUCGCAGGCGGAAAUGCAAGUCAGGUGUAAAAGGCAGUAGCUUAACUACUGUAAGCAUUUGAAACUGCAUAUCUUGAGAAGAGUAGAGGUAAGUGGAAUUUUUAGUGGAGCGGUGAAAUGCGUAGAUAUUAAAAAGAAUACCGGUGGCGAAGGCGACUUACUGGGCUCAUUCUGACGCUGAGGAACGAAAGCGUGGGUAGCAAACAGG
rnacentral:rRNA from 3 species